CUUUUAUGAUAACACAUAGAACAGGCUAAUUUGCGCAAGAGUGUACAAAAUGAGUGCGCGGUUUGGCACCUCGAUGUCGGCUUAACUUAUCCUCAUGGAUGCAGGAACUAUGUAGGGUGCGACUGUUCGUCGAUUAAAAAGUUACAUGAGCUGGGUUAAAUACGUCGUGAGACAGUAUGGUUUCUAUCUUCUAGGGGGAAUUAGAAUAUAAUAAGAACUAACUUUUGUACGAAAGGAACAAGAAGAAUUUAAUUUGUAAAAGGGUUAAAUAAUAGUUACUAACCUAUGGUUUACCUGUUGUCUAUGUGCCCAAAUAUUAAAAUAUAGGAUAAAAAUUCUAUAUAUCUGUAUAGCUUUAGCUAUACAUAGGGAUGUUUCUUUCACUAAGAUAAAUAUAUAGCAUAGGCACGGCAGGAAAGCUAAGUUGGUUAAGGAUAAGUGCUGAAAGCAUAUAGGCACGAAGCUUAUCUUAAGAUAUUUCUUAAAUAUACGUAAAAUAUUAUUACGAAGGAUUAAUAUAGGCUUUAUCCGUACGAAUCUGGAGAUUUUUAAGAAUAAAGUACUAAUUUUAUAAAUAACUAUUUAU
rnacentral:rRNA from 1 species